rnacentral:misc_RNA from 1 species
UGGUGAACCAGCGGAGGGAUCAUUACCGAGUUUACAACUCCCAAACCCAAUGUGAAUGUUACCAAACAGUUGCCUCGGCGGGGUCACGCCCCGGGUGCGUAAAAGCCCCGGAACCAGGCGCCCGCCGGAGGAACCAACCAAACUCUUUCUGUAGUCCCCUCGCGGACGUAUUUCUUACAGCUCUGAGCAAAAAGUCAAAAUGAAUCAAAACUUUCAACAACGGAUCUCUUGGUUCUGG